GUGAAUUAUUAAUUCCAUUUAUAAUUAAAAAUCAUCAUAAAACCGCGACAUAUGAAUAAAAUAGGUGGCUAAAAUAUAAAAUUAGAACAUAAGAGGCUAAAUUUUGUCAGAAGUGGAAACGUAUAGAACUAAAACUCAACUUUCAAUUUGAAAUGAAACUGGGUAGCCACUUUCCGAACGACUUUAAAAUACUUCGGGUUAGAAAAAAGUAUCUAACCAAAGGUUUUAAAAUUAAAAAUUAGGUUUUGAAUAAUAUAUAGGUCCAGUGGGGAAAUAAUUACUUACCUAUUGCUAAAUAAUUCAAACUUAAUUAAACAACAUAAAAACAUAGUGUUAUAUUUAGAAGAGAAAUAAAAAAUAAACUUAUAAACUGUACUUACAACGAGAAAAUGAUAAUAAUUACACACAAAUGAAUGUUGAGAGGAGGGGAAAAGUGAAAGAAGCUCACAAGAGAGACAGAGAGAGUGUAUAAAGGGAAAAGUCAUGGACAUUCAAAUAGCAGUUAAAGAUAAGAAUUUAAGCUUUUAAAUAAAAAAAGUCAUGAAGAAAGAUGUUGUUACUACAAACGGAUUUUGAAGUGAACACAUAAAGUUUUCCUGAGAUAAUCUUCUAACUUGUCAUAUGUAAUAAUAGCUGUUUGUUUACUCUGCUGAGCGAACUUUUGUCAAGUUUACAGAAAAUCAUUGACAAUUUCACUGGAGCAACAAGUAUAGGAAGUGACAAAGUUUACUAAAUAAAUAUUGAAAAAAAGAAACUAGCAAAGUAAAUACAGGGAAAAAGAAAGCUCUAGGCGUGUGGAAAUCCUGUGACCAUCACGAACAACGUGAGAUGGAUUAACACAUUCACCACGGAUGAAACUUUCACUCUAAAGACAUCUUUCAAGCGUUGUUGGGUACAUUGGGAAUCUCUUCUUGUCAUUUUUAGCUUUUACUUUGUAGGAAAAGUUUUUAAGCAUAACUUGGAGAUGUAGAAAUUAAGUAAAUUUUCGGGCACCCUAAUUUACAAGAGAGAGAAAAAACUAAACACAGGAAAUGUAUUUCUUUCAUAAGAAAAUGUAUCAGUAACAUGUAAAAUAGAACAUGUGUUCUCAACAGCCAAAAGGGUUACAAAUGUAUUCAAAAUGGAGUUGUUGAGGACAAGAAAAAAUAAUGAUAAACAUCUACUUUCUGUUUACUUAGUCAAGAUAAACAUCAAACACUCAGAUCUAAGUAUGGAUGGCAAUUUACAAGAAUAUAAAGCAAUCUUAACAUGAAGGAGACAGUUGUAAUUUGUUGAUACAUAGAUAACAGAUCAAUGAUUGUAUAACAAUGUGACGAUAUUGACAGUUUAGUUGUUCACAAAAAGAGAUGGGAUUGUGUGUGGAUGAAAAAGUUUAUGAAGAAAAAAAUUGUGAUAUAUUUAUUUCAAAAAAAUUGAAAAUGGUAUCCAAGGAGAAGAUAAACAUUUGACAAAAAGAUUUACUCAUGUGCUUUAAAAUUUAUAUCACCCCCUGGUGGGUUCGGUUUCACUUUUAAAAGCUUACAUGCAAGACUUAGAGAAAGUUUGUUGAAUGUUGAAAGAGAAGUGGUUUAAAUCAAUCAGAAUUAGAAAGGUGAUGUUUGAAUGCGUCAAGAAAAACUUUUAAUUAAUUAUAACAGUGUUCUUACAUAUGCAACAGACAAUUCUGUAUGUAUCUCUAUAUAUUCAUAUUAUGGAAAGUAUGUUGUAAUAAUUUUUAAAAUCUGAAAAAGUUAAAAAUUAAAACAUUUUAAUAAGGUAACAUUUAAUGCAAAAAAGAUUUUUUUAAAUCAAAUAUUGUAUUCCUAAGGUAAUACCAAUUUAGUUGCUUUGCUUGCCAAGUUUUAUUUUGUAAGAAUGCCUGACAUCAAACUGGUAUUCGUGGUUUUGUAAAUAAUCUUUAAUACGUCACAUCAAGACACAUUACCACAUAUAUCGUCAACAUUAUGCAUCAUUGUGCAUAAUUAUUUCAUUCAAACUUUGUGUUAAGAAGACAUGGAAGCCAUUGUCACGAAUUACAUGAACCGCUAACUGGUAAAUUCACAUAACAAGAUCAAUCUUCUUCCAAAUUGUUUUUUGCUACUUUUAAUUCCUGAGUUGCGUUUACUUUUGCAAUUUCAUUUUCCCUUUUUCAAAAUCAAAUUCAUGUAACAAAACAUUUUUAAACUCACACUUCAAUUCAAAGAAAUACACUAAAUAAAUCGAAAAAUGGCUCGAAAUUUUUUCGCACUGUAAAAUACUUUAAUAAAUAAUAAACUGCUGUUGUUUUUGUCCUUAGAUUAAAAAUAGCAUGCACACAACUGUGCGAAUAGUGAACAUGAUAAACAGUGUGAUUAUACAAAUAAAACUUUUCAGGGUAACUAAAAAAUUGAAUAAGUUUAGUACAAUUUGAUCUUUUAGGUUUAAAUAACCCUUAAAAAAAAAAAACAUAGCUUCCGUACACAAUUGUCGGAAUUAUAAAGUCAUAGAAAAAAAUAUAUUACAGGAUAUUGGGAUUUCUCCUCCUCCACGCAAAAGAUAAUCAGAAGCUAAAACAACUCAUUAGGGAAUAAUAUAACUGAUAAGGAAACUAUUAAAACAGAUUUAUCCUAAUAAAAACAAGAGAUCAGAUUUUAUAUUGAUUAAUUAGAACUAAAAUACAAAAUACAAAAACAAAACAUAACAGUAUUUUGAUUAUAAAAUUUAAAAUUUAAUAGGUGUUAUUGUAUUUAUUCUUUUUAAGGCAGACUUCAGCAACAGAAGAACUUCUUUUCCAUGUUUUUUAAAGAAUUAGUCCUUAUUUUUUUAUAAUUUCUUAACUCGCAGUCAACAGAAGGUUGUUUAGUGUCUGAUCUGUUACCCCCUGCUAAAUACAGGGUGUGUAUAAUUACUUGCAAUCACUACCAAUUGCUUAAUACUUGACAACCAGGGAGACAAUUUGGACAAA